rnacentral:rRNA from 1 species
AAACCGUUGAAAGGGAAGCGAAUGGAGUUAGCAACUUGCCCUGUCAGAUUCAGUUGCUCGCGCAUCGCCACGUUCCUGCUCCCGAUCCMCGUCGUGGACGGGACGUGCACGUGGGCGACUCGCGACCGGCGCACUUCUGGCGGGCAAGCGUCAGCAUCGGUUGGCGCCGCGUGUAAAAGACUCGAGGAAGGUGUGCUGGCCAUCACGGCCGGCUGUUAAGCCUCGGGCUCGCACGACCCGCUGCCGACCGUGGCUAUGUUUCGCGUUGCGACGCGUGCAUCUGUGCUGGCGACUCGCACGAUCGAUCCGGCAUGUCGACCGUGGCGGACGGCACGCCUGUGCGCUCGAACCGCAGCCGGUCGAUCGAGCGACGUUCGCACACUACGCGUCCAGGAUGCUGACGUCCAUACGGCUCCAUCCGACCCGUCUUGAAACACGGACCAAGGAGUCUAACAUGUGCGCGAGUCUCCGGGUGAUUGAAACCCGUGGGCGCAAUGAAAGUGAAGGCCACUCUAGAUGGCUGAGGUGAGAAGCCUAUUUUUCGCGAAGUAGGCGGCGUCAUCGACCGACCUAAUCUGCUCUCAGAAAGGUUCGAGUAAGAGCGCACCUGUUGGGACCCGAAAGAUGGUGAACUAUGCUUGAAUAGGGCGAAGCCAGCGGAAACACUGGUGGAAGCUCGUAGCGAUUCUGACGUGCAAAUCGAUCGUCGAAUUUGGGCAUAGCGGCGAAAGACUAAUCGAACCAUCUAGUAGCUGGUUCCCUCCGAAGUUUCCCUCAGGAUAGCUGGAGUUCAACGUGCUGCAGU